rnacentral:rRNA from 1 species
GACGAACGCUGGCGGCGUGCUUAACACAUGCAAGUCGAACGGAAAGGCCCUGCUUUUGUGGGGUGCUCGAGUGGCGAACGGGUGAGUAACACGUGAGUAUCCUGCCCUUGACUUUGGGAUAACUUCAGGAAACUGGGGCUAAUACCGGAUAUGAGCUCCUGCUGCAUGGUGUGGGUUGGAAAGUUUCGGCGGUUGGGGAUGGACUCGCGGCUUAUCAGCUUGUUGGUUGGGUAGUGGCUUACCAAGGCUUUGACGGGUAGCCGGCCUGUGAGGGUGACCGGCGACAAUGGGACUGAGAUACGGACCAGACUCCAACGGGAGGCAGCAGUGGGGAAUAUUGCAAAAUGGGCGGAAGCCUGAUGCAGAAACGCCGCGAGCGGGAUGACGGCCUUCGGGUUGUAAACCGCUUUCGAAUGUGACGAAGCGUGAGUGACGGUAAUGGGUAAAGAAGCACCGGCUAACUACGUG